CGAAUCGAAAGCUUGCUUUUGAUUCGUUAGCGGCGGACGGGUGAGUAACACGUGGGCAACCUGCCCUGUAGACGGGGAUAACACCGAGAAAUCGGUGCUAAUACCGGAUAACACGAAAUGUCGCAUGACGUUUCGUUGAAAGACGGCGCAAGCUGUCGCUACAGGAUGGGCCCGCGGCGCAUUAGCUAGUUGGUGAGGUAACGGCUCACCAAGGCGACGAUGCGUAGCCGACCUGAGAGGGUGAUCGGCCACACUGGGACUGAGACACGGCCCAGACUCCUACGGGAGGCAGCAGUAGGGAAUCUUCCGCAAUGGACGAAAGUCUGACGGAGCAACGCCGCGUGAGCGAAGAAGGCCUUCGGGUCGUAAAGCUCUGUUGUUAGGGAAGAACAAGUAACGCAGUAACUGGCGUUACCGUGACGGUACCUAACGAGAAAGCCACGGCUAACUACGUGCCAGCAGCCGCGGUAAUACGUAGGUGGCAAGCGUUGUCCGGAAUUAUUGGGCGUAAAGCGCGCGCAGGCGGUUCCUUAAGUCUGAUGUGAAAGCCCACGGCUCAACCGUGGAGGGUCAUUGGAAACUGGGGGACUUGAGUGCAGAAGAGGAGAGCGGAAUUCCACGUGUAGCGGUGAAAUGCGUAGAGAUGUGGAGGAACACCAGUGGCGAAGGCGGCUCUCUGGUCUGUAACUGACGCUGAGGCGCGAAGCGUGGGGAGCAAACA
rnacentral:rRNA from 1 species